GUAAGUGAAAAGGUGCCUGCCUGCCAGCCAGGAAGAGGGCCCUCAUCUGGAACAUAACUGGCCAGCACCAUGACCUUGGGCUUCCCUGCUUCCAGAACUGUGAGACAUAAGUUCCUGUACAUGGUAUUUGUUAUGACAGUCCGAGUGGAUUAAGAAAAGCAUGGAGUUUACCAAGAAGCUUAACCCUGGAUUUUGUCCUGCAUGUUCAUCUGGGUCACUGUCUGCCCUGUAUGGCAUAUCUGUUGUUGACACAUGGUCUCCACAGGACAAAUCCUCACACUAGCAGUAGGCCUUUCCCCAGUGGGGCCUGCCAUUAUUUACAACUUCCAACAGGGAUACCCAGGGUUAUCAUUUUAGAAUAAAUGUCAGUCACCCAGAUAAUACUGACUUUAAUGCCUCUGAAUGUGUAAAAUGGUAUUUCCUACUAUGCCGUCUUACAUUUAAAGCCUGGAAUGAUGAGAUGAAGAAGAGAUGGAGAAGGAGAAUAAGAAGGAGGAAGGAUUUCAAUGAUGUCAUAAUUGGAUUUGUAUUCUUCACUUCAUUAUAAGGGCCAUAUGAAACCUAGAGCCACACGGUGGUUUGGAUCAUUGUCCAGGAGACCACUGACUCAAACUCUCUUCUCACACUGAGCAGGACUGCCAGGAGGAGAGUCCUUCCUUGGCCCAUCAUCAUAUGUAAGCAGAAUAAAUCUUUGAUUGCAAUAAUUUACAAAUGAACUAAAAUCUAAAAUUUUUGACUUUAAAAGAAGAGAAAAUUUGCUCCUCUUUUUGCUAUUGAAAUGUGCUCCACUCUAAAUAAUUUCUUGUCCUAAAUUCUAUCAUAAGACACUUGACACCAUUCACCUGAAAAAUGCAAAGGACCAUAUACCUAAGGGACA